rnacentral:rRNA from 1 species
GACGAACGCUGGCGGCGUGCUUAACACAUGCAAGUCGAACGAAGUGGCGAACGGGUGAGUAACGCGUAAUCAACCUGCCCUUCAGAGGGGGACAACAGUUGGAAACGACUGCUAAUACCGCAUACUGAAGGAGGGGAUUGCGUCUGAUUAGCUCGUUGGAGGGGUAACGGCCCCCCAAGGCGCUGAACAGUAGCGGGCCUGAGAGGGUGACGGGCCACAUUGGACUGAGAUACGGCCCAGACUCCUACGGGAGGCAGCAGUGGGGGAUAUUGCACAAUGGGCGAAAGCCUGAUGCAGCGAAGCCGCGUGGGGGAUGAAGGCUUUCGGGUUGUAAACCUCUUUCGCUAUCGAACGGGUAGGUGGAGAAGAAGCGCCGGCUAACUACGUGCCAGCAGCCGCGGUAAUAC